GGGAGCGUCCGUGGCUGACUGGUUACGGUGUUCGCUUUGUAAGCGAAUGGUUCUGGGUUCAAUGCCCAUCUGCUCUCA
rnacentral:tRNA from 1 species